UGGGGAAUUUUGGACAAUGGGCGAAAGCCUGAUCCAGCAAUGCCGCGUGUGUGAAGAAGGCCUUCGGGUUGUAAAGCACUUUUGUCCGGAAAGAAAUCCUUGGCUCUAAUACAGUCGGGGGAUGACGGUACCGGAAGAAUAAGCACCGGCUAACUACGUGCCAGCAGCCGCGGUAAUACGUAGGGUGCAAGCGUUAAUCGGAAUUACUGGGCGUAAAGCGUGCGCAGGCGGUUUGCUAAGACCGAUGUGAAAUCCCGGGCUCAACCUGGGAACUGCAUUGGUGACUGGCAGGCUAGAGUAUGGCAGAGGGGGGUAGAAUUCCACGUGUAGCAGUGAAAUGCGUAGAGAUGUGGAGGAAUACCGAUGGCGAAGGCAGCCCCCUGGGCCAAGUACUGACGCUCAUGCACGAAAGCGUGGGGAGCAAACAGGAUUAGAUACCCCUGGUAGUCCAUGCCCUAAACGAUGUCAACUAGUUGUUGGGGAUUCAUUUCCUUAGUAACGUAGCUAACGCGUGAAGUUGACCGCCUGGGGGAGUACGGUCGCAAGAUUAAAACUUAAAGGAAUUGACGGGGUCAUAGCUGUUUCCU
rnacentral:rRNA from 1 species